rnacentral:rRNA from 1 species
GAUGAACGCUGGCGGCGUGCUUAACACAUGCAAGUCGAACGGAAAGGCCCAAGCUUGCUUGGGUACUCGAGUGGCGAACGGGUGAGUAACACGUGGGUGAUCUGCCCUGCACUUCGGGAUAAGCCUGGGAAACUGGGUCUAAUACCGGAUAGGACGAUGGUUUGGAUGCCAUUGUGGAAAGUUUUUUCGGUGUGGGAUGAGCUCGCGGCCUAUCAGCUUGUUGGUGGGGUAAUGGCCUACCAAGGCGUCGACGGGUAGCCGGCCUGAGAGGGUGUACGGCCACAUUGGGACUGAGAUACGGCCCAGACUCCUACGGGAGGCAGCAGUGGGGAAUAUUGCACAAUGGGCGCAAGCCUGAUGCAGCGACGCCGCGUGGGGGAUGACGGCCUUCGGGUUGUAAACUCCGUUCGCUAGGGACGAAGCGUUUUUGUGACGGUACCUGGAGUAGAAGCACCGGCUAACUACGU